UACGUGAGGGGCAAGCGUUGUUCGGAAUUACUGGGCGUAAAGGGCGCGUAGGCGGCCUUCUAAGUCGAACGUGAAAUCCCCGGGCUCAACCCGGGAACUGCGUCCGAUACUGGAAGGCUUGAAUCCGGGAGAGGGAUGUGGAAUUCCAGGUGUAGCGGUGAAAUGCGUAGAUAUCUGGAGGAACACCGGUGGCGAAGGCGACAUCCUGGACCGGCAUUGACGCUGAGGCGCGAAAGCAUGGGGAGCGAACAGG
rnacentral:rRNA from 1 species